UUGCUUAGCUCUUCACUCCCAAACGCCACAAAUUGGCCUCGCCGCCGCGACUAGUACCUGGGGCAAGUUUUCCUGAAGCUUAUCGGAAUGGGUAGUUGUGCCGCGUCCUGCCGAAAAUCUGAACGGGAGUCGUCGGAAAUACUGUAGCUUGCCGGAAAUUCUCGCCGGAAAAGUAAGGCACUUGUCCAAGAAAACAGAACACACCCACAAAAAACAGAAGAGAGAAUAGGAAGAAAAGAAAAAAGAAAAAGAAAAGAAAAAAGAAAAAGAAGUCGAAGAGACGAAAUCGCUGGUCGAAAUUGCUAAAAUGGAUGAAUUUUGGAAAAAGGGAAGAUAGGGUUUACGGCGAGGUUUUGAGGGAAAUUAGAUUCUAGGGACAUGGGGUCUCUGAAACCACAAUCAAUUCAAAAAUAUAUUGCAAUAAGUUGAUCUAGACUACUCAAAAAAAUGGAAUCUUGAAAAAAGAAAGUCAGCAAAAAAAUAUCUUUCAUGUAACUUAAAGAACAAAUUAUAAUAGUAAACAGAGAGGAAACCAGAAUAUAGGGGAAACAGAGAAAAAAAAGGUUUAUUAUAAUAGUAAUAACGAAGGAGCAGUGGAUACAGAGAAAAAAAGGUUUAUUUUAACAAAUUUUGCUAAAAUUCAAUUGAAAUAACUGGGCUGAACCACAACAUCAAUAUGAACAUUAAAUAACCGAUUUUCAGAUCGAAACAGCUUCGGGUUCGAUCAAUCAGCUUGAAAUAUGUCAAUGAAAUGAAGCAUAAAUGUUGCAAAAUUUACACAAAUUUACCUCGAAAUCAGCAAGACAACGCGUCGAUGAAUCGGUUUCAAGUGAAAAAACGAGAAAAUCAAAAAGGAGCUUCAAGAAACUCGAGGAAGUUGAAUUAACGAAGCUAGGAAGAGUGAAGAUUUUGGAGUAAGCUUAACCACAAACUUGACUAAAAAUUAGGCGAUAAUCUCGUCUUUGGAUUGAGGAAUUUUGUUGGCGCUUGUUAAUUAAUAUGUCAAUUUUAUCUUAUAUUUCUUCAAUUUUUGUUUCUACUAUGUCUAGCUAAACCCAUUAGCUAGGUUGUACUCAAUCCUAAUGUGAGUAAUUAAUCGGUGUGAUUGUUUAAUGUAUGACUGAUGUUGGGUGUUUGUUAUUUGGGUUAAUAUUAUGUUUUCAUUAAGAUUUGGUGGUUGCAAAC
rnacentral:lncRNA from 1 species